GGACCCGCACAAGCGGUGGAUGAUGUGGUUUAAUUCGAUGCAACGCGAAAAACCUUACCUACCCUUGACAUGCCUGGAAUCCUGCAGAGAUGUGGGAGUGCUCGAAAGAGAGCCAGGACACAGGUGCUGCAUGGCCGUCGUCAGCUCGUGUCGUGAGAUGUUGGGUUAAGUCCCGCAACGAGCGCAACCCUUGUCAUUAGUUGCUACGAAAGGGCACUCUAAUGAGACUGCCGGUGACAAACCGGAGGAAGGUGGGGAUGACGUCAGGUCCUCAUGGCCCUUAUGGGUAGGGCUACACACGUCAUACAAUGGCCGGUACAGAGGGCUGCCAACCCGCGAGGGGGAGCCAAUCCCAGAAAACCGGUCGUAGUCCGGAUCGCAGUCUGCAACUCGACUGCGUGAAGUCGGAAUCGCUAGUAAUCGCGGAUCAGCUUGCCGCGGUGAAUACGUUCCCGGGUCUU
rnacentral:rRNA from 1 species